rnacentral:rRNA from 1 species
UACGUAGGGGGCAAGCGUUGUCCGGAAUCAUUGGGCGUAAAGAGCGUGUAGGCGGCCAGAUAAGUCCGGUGUGAAAGUCACAGGCUCAACCUGUGAAUGCCGCUGGAAACUGUCUGGCUAGAGUCCGGAAGGGGCGAGUGGAAUUCCUGGUGUAGCGGUGAAAUGCGCAGAUAUCAGGAGGAACACCAAUGGCGAAGGCAGCUCGCUGGGACGGUACUGACGCUGAGGCGCGAAAGCGUGGGGAGCAAACAGG